AAGGGGAGCACCAGAUCCUGGGCUGUGUCCCCAGCGCCUUGGACUCCGGGUCCUGCACCGCUGGAAUCGUGCUCUUGGGGCCGCACAGCCCCCU
rnacentral:pre_miRNA from 1 species